rnacentral:rRNA from 1 species
CAGCCGCCACGGUAAUGCGUAGGGAGCGAGCGUUGUCCGGAAUCAUUGGGCGUAAAGAGCUCGUAGGCGGCUUGGUAAGUCGGAUGUGAAACCUCCAGGCUCAACCUGGAGUCGCCAUCCGAUACUGCCAUAGCUAGAGUCCGGUAGGGGCCCACGGAACUCCUGGUGUAGCGGUGAAAUGCGCAGAUAUCAGGAAGAACACCGGUGGCGAAGGCGGUGGGCUGGGCCGGCACUGACGCUGAGGAGCGAAAGCGUGGGGAGCGAACAGGAUUAGAUACCCCUGUAGUCCCUGUCUCUUAUA